AAAAAAGAGCCGCACCGGCGAGGAAGGACAUCAGCAGAAAGGUAAAUUGGCUCUAUUCGAGCAGAGCUUAACAAAAGUCACUCGGUCUGACUUUUCUUGAAAAUGGAUGGAGAUGUGGCAGAAUCAAGGACUCACGGGGAGACUCUGACCCUCCCUCCACCCAAAGCACCACCCAUCCCCUUCAUCGAGGUUGCUGUAACCCGCGGGCUGUUGCCUGUGCAAGGGCCCCUGCCGACAGCACUAGAGGCCACGUCCAAGGUUCCAGCUUAGAGUGUUAUCAGCAACGACAGCGGCAGGGAACAGAAAGCUCUGAAUCACUGUGGGAAGCUUCUAGAGCACUGUGAGACGUGGGCUCCGGAUCAACUAAAUCAAAAUCCACCAGCAGUAUGACGAGGGGCGAGGCGGAUUAAAGUGCAGUUGGACGGCUUCCGGAACAGAUGAAUUGGACCGACAACCCACCCUUAGGGAAUUUUCUUCCCCGUCCUCCGUAAAACCCCAAUUACACCAACAAGCAACAGUUAAAUGCAUACAAAGACGCAUAAAUGCAGCAGAUGGAAAACAGGAGGAAGCAGCUGGAAGUGUGUUUCCCUCAGAACUGUUUUUAACAGGCUGUGCACAAUGCCUCUCUAAUGCACAGAUAAAAAUAAAACAUAAAUAUUGAAAAGGUUACUGGUCACAGCAAC